rnacentral:lncRNA from 1 species
CCGGAUCGCACUCUGAUAGUGCACUCAUUCUAAUUCAACCUCAGUCUGAAUUAUCUCCACUGGUCAAACGACUUGCCCCCAGUCUGCCAGAUGCCCCUCUUCUGACUGGGACUUUGCUAUCAUGUCAUAGCAUAGCAUUCCAUUUCAUGAUGAAUCAUAUCAUGAAACGAAGUCACCAUGGCUCUCUGAUAUAGGCACUGGCGUUCUGCUUCUCUAGAGGACAGUCUUCUCUCUAUGGUAGCUUGUGAGCAACGACAUCGGUGUUUGACCUUGGCGUAUCCUGACGUG